rnacentral:rRNA from 1 species
AUUGAACGCUGGCGGCAGGCCUAACACAUGCAAGUCGAGCGGAGCGGCGGACGGGUGAGUAAUGCCUAGGAAUCUGCCUGGUAGUGGGGGAUAACGUCCGGAAACGGGCGCUAAUACCGCAUACUAUCAGAUGAGCCUAGGGCGGAUUUGCUAGUUGGUGGGGUAAAGGCCUACAAAGGCGACGAUCCGUAACUGGUCUGAGAGGAUGAUCAGUAACACUGGAACUGUGACACGGUCCAGCCUCCUACGGAGGGCGGCAGUGGGAAUUAUUGGACAAUGGGCGAAGGCCUGAUCCAGCCAUGCCGCGUGUGUGAGAAAGGUCUUCGGAUUUUAAAGCACUUUAAGUUGGAAGACGUUACCAACAGAGUAAGCACCGGCUAACUUCGUGCCAGCAGCCGCGGUAAUAC